UUCCCUCUCUCUCUCCCUCUCUUUCACAAAGCAAAGCUACCACCGAUCGAUCGAGCAAAGACUAAACCACGCGGCAUCGCCUCUCAUCUCUUCCCCACGCGCGUCGUCCCGCGUACUCCCACCACGCACCACACCGUUCUCAGUCCUCACAAGCCGAAGCCGGUUUCGUAUCCCCGGCCGGCCUCCUCCUGAAUGGCAGCGUGCACCUGCCGACGGGCGGCGGCAAGCGUUGGCCGCGCGCGAGCUACGGCGCCCGCGCCCGCGCCACCACGGCGCGUCCCGAAGAGGGGUCAGGUGCUGAAGCGGGCGCUCAAGAGCCUCCUCUCGUGGCUGCCGCGCCGCGGGUGGUGGCUGGCCCGGCUCGGCCGCCGCCCUGCCAAGCUCGGCGGGACCAAGGCCGCCGGCGCCGUCGCAACGCGUCUUGGCUAGCCACUUGCCACUAAAAUUAAGGACCAAUAAGCUAUCACUCAACUGGCUGCAGGUCGUCAACGAGUCAACUUGUCCGGGUCCGGAGGGGUGGGUGGAGCAAAGCAUAUGGUUGCCUCCUCCCUUCCGUUCCGUGGACGUCAUACUACUGUGUAUCACUAUAGUCAACUUCUUCUUGUUUCAUUUGUUGGUUAUUAUUUUGUUGGUCCCAGAUCGAGCUGGUGCACCAAUCCAUGGAAUUGUAUAACAUAUAUAUACAUUACUAUUCUCUACGUUUUCA